UUCCCUUUCGCUCGUCGUCGUUAUGCUCCACGGCGGAAUCCGCCGACGGGGAUGAAGUUUCACGCUCCUCCCGUCGGAUUGCCGAACAAUUCUAUGUGAUAGAAUCCACAUGAUAAAGCGGAGUUUGGAGAACCUUACAGCUAAAGCGAGAUCCAGUGGUGCAAAUGGGUAAGUACUUGCCUUGUUCAGUUCAUUGUUGCUUGCAUAUUCUGCUUUAUAGCUCAUCAAUGCUAAGAAUGGCUGUGUGAUUAGGCAUAUCCUUUAGAACAGAACCUGGGACGGUGGACCUCUUGCAUUCAUAUUCAUAGUCUACAUUGUAAUAAAUCUGAGCUGGUCUAUUAAUUUUAUACUCCAGAAAGCUAGAAUCAUACCCUCUAGACCACAUACAUUGUUGUUUAUAAGCUUAAACUUUUAUACAUAUCUUCUUUAGUUGUUGGCCAGAAAUCUACUGCUUUUUAGAAGGCUGAUUAGUUUUUAAAACCUAGCUUGUGAUAUAUCUACGCUCCAAGGGAAGAAUUCAUAAUGUUAUAGUUUACACUGGAUCAUAGGACUAAAAUUAUAGCUGAUUGUCUAAGAAAUUUUGCUGCUGGAAUGUAGACCAUCUGCUCAAAACAAAAGUCAAUGGGGGCAUUCCGAGAAUCGAACUCGGGACCUCUCGCACCCAAAGCGAGAAUCAUACCACUAGACCAAAUUCCCUGUUCUUGGUUUAGUUCCAUUAGGCAUUGGAUUAGAGAAUACACAUUCAUUCUGUUUUAGAGUAAACUUUACUCUUGAAGAUUUCUCCUUUUGAGGGUGCUAUUCUUGAUGAAGCUCGCUAUAUACAGCUAAAGUUCAGGCUAUCCUAUAUUUUAUUUUUGAAUCUGAUUUUAGGAUGUCUUCUUGUUUAGUAACGUAAUAAAGAUAAUAUGUUUUAGAUCUAGCUCUGUUAGUUGACUUUCAGGCCUUAAUAGUGAAAGCUGAUAGUCUGUAAUUUAGUAUUGGUGAUGUGAAAUGUUAGCUGGCAUUUAGAACAUUUGUCUUACAAAAAGUCAAUGGGGCAUUCCGAGAAUCGAACUCGGGACCUCUCGCACCCAAAGCGAGAAUCAUACCACUAGACCAAAUGCCCUGUUGUUAAGCAGUAUAGCCGAAACGUUUAAAAUUUGGUCAUACUUUGAUCUUUGUCCCAUAGUUGACCUUUACUAAAUAUAUAUUAGUCUUUGUAGGAUGUUCUUAGAUCUAAUCUAGUGAGAUCUCUUUCAACUGAAGUUCCUGUGGAAUCAUCAUUUGCAUUUCCACCUAAAGAAUGUAAUACUCUUCCACGAAAAAACACUCGGUGCAUUUGUUAAAUAAUCUAAGCAUGAAAUAAUGUUUUAGAUCUAGCUCUGUUAGUUCACUUUCAGGGUUUAAUAGUGAAGUUUGAUUGUUUGUAAUUUAUUGACAUGUUAGCUAGCAUUUUGAACAUUUGUUUUACAAAAAGUCAAUGGGGGGCAUUCCGAGAAUCGAACUCGGGACCUCUCGCACCCAAAGCGAGAAUCAUACCACUAGACCAAAUGCCCGGUUAUUGUUGUUUUUCAUUAAUACAUUCUCUUUGUUUCCUUGCGCUUUUCUUGAACAAUUAGUUCUUGGUUUAUAGUUCUUUCUUGACAUUGCAAUGGAAACGCAUAUUGUUCACGUGCAUAUCUUUAAGAUGAUUUCAGGCAGAGAGUUCCAGCUUUGUAUCCUAUACUUUCAGGUUUCUUGUAGUGUACAGUGUACCCAGAACAAAAUUUACUAGGAUCAGACUAGGCAGCUGUUGCAGCCAGAGGGAAAAAAUUGUAAAACCAGAAUAAAUGCAUGUGGUUUUGUAGAUCCUUAACAAGGUUUCAGUUCUUGAUUCUUAAAUUCCUGCAAUAUUUUUUUUGUAUUUCAGUGAAAUUUGCAUGUGAUACUUGUCCAAUUGGCAAUUGAUGUGGUUUGAUUUUGGAGAAUCUAGUGGCAGAAAGCUAGUAUUUAUAUUGUCUAAUGUUUUCUAGUAGAAUCUGCAGAAGGGAGGUGGUUUCUGGUUGAAGAGUUGGGUUAGUUUGGUUUCAACACUUGAUGUCGAAAUUCAUCAGCAGAAUUUCAAGAGCUUGAGACGGAGAUCUAAACUCCAGACUACCUUUUUGAGUUAAAAUGGGUAAGGGUCGGGUCCUUUGUUUGUUGGAAUGUUAAUAUCAUUGUUUUGAGCAACUGGUGGUGUUUUAAACUAGUCCUGGUGAAAUGAGAGAGAAGACAUUAAUGUCCAACUGCUGAAGCUUGUUGCUUGGUUGCAGUGGCCCCAUCUGACAUGAAAUCAAAGGUAUACUACAGUCUGAAACUAUUCUUUGAUUUGCCAAUCAACAGUUAAUAUUAAAAAUAUAAGCGAAACUGUAUGCUGUUUCAUGCUGAAAUUUAGGUGUGUUAAGUUGUUAAUGACCACUAAACUAACAAACACCAACGAUCAGAUUCAUAAUUAUAGCGAAUUUCAGAAGAUGUUUUUUUUUAUCUGAGACAUUUUCAGCCAUAUGUUUCGACACAUAAUUUGAAAAAGGUCAAUGGGGGCAUUAGACCUCUGACCUCUGACCUCUCACCUCUCACACCCUAUUUAGCGAUAAUCAUACCACUAGACCAAAUGCCCUGUUAAAAUGGUUCAAAGUUGGUCAUAUUUUGAUCUAAUUCCCUUAGUUGACGUUUACUAAAACUUUUAUUGAACUUUGUAGGAUAUUCCUAGAUCUAAUAUAUGGGAUCUUUUUUCAACUGAAGUUCCAUUGAAAGGAUCACUGUUUGUCAUGUUCUUGUUUGGUUGAUUUCUUUUUGUUUCAUCAUGAACUGCAUUUGAAAUGUGUGGUUUCAUUUGAGUGAAACCUGUUUCAUUUUGGUUUGAACACAUUUACUAGGAAAAGCAAUACCUAAGCAAGGAUUUAGACCGUCUGGUUAAACACAAAAGUCAAUGGGGCAUUUUGAGAAUCGAACUUGGCACUUCUCUCACCCAAAGCGAGAAUCACACCUCUCUACCCUAAUCCAACACACAGCUUGAGAAACUUCAAACUAUUCUGUAUUCGAUGUUUGAUUCUGAUGAUAGAAAGUUUUCUUGUUUAGAUAAUGUAAGAAAGAAAAAAUAAGUUGUAUAGUUCUAUCGGUUGACUUUCAGUGCUCAAUCGUAAAGUUGCAUUCUUUGUUAAUAUAACUUAGAUGAUAGCUGGCAUUUAGAACAUUUGGCUUACAAAAAUGUCAAUGGGGCAUUCCGAGAAUCAAACUCGGGACCUCUCGCAACCAAAGCGAGAAUCAUACCACUAGACCAAAGGCCCUGUUGUUGAUUAACUUAAUACCUCCAUAACUGUUCUUGAAUUGUAGACACCGUUUUCGGCUUUCCUCUUUCUAUGGACAUGAUUUUAACAGGUGAAUGAGCUUCAGAUGGAGGUGUAUCCUGCUCUUGUUGAAUUGGCCUCAAACAUUAGCACACUUAAUCUCGAACAUGUGCGCAGGUUAAAAGUUCGCCUCCUUACUUAAACACACUUGCAGGUUGGUGAUGGAAUAGGACAUUUAAUGGACGAUGAUGAUGACAUGGCUGAGAUGUAUGUGUCUGAGAAAAAAAGAAAGAUACGAGGCUCAUGCGUCAGGGGAGCUAGAAGAUAACCUCGACGAGGAAUUCAAAUCUUCUGGAUUAGUUUCCAAGUCUGCGCCGGUUUCGCCUGUGGGUUCAGCAAGUGGAUACUUCGAGAAGCUUCAAAGAGCCUUUAGCAGCGUCGUUGGCUCACACAGAAACUUGUUAAGCUUUUCUAGCAGCAGCGAGAACAUCGACCAACUAGAGAUUUUAUUUCGUUGUAGUUGAUAACACACUCAGCAAAUUAAUUAUCGUUUAGAUUUUAAAAUCUGUUAUGUUAUUUUUUUAUUUAUUUUUCACAAUUUUGAUUAUGAUCUUUUGUUUGCAACUGCUGAAAGAGUAUUACUGGUAAUACAGAAGAUCUGCUCA